rnacentral:rRNA from 1 species
AUUGAACGCUGGCGGCAGGCUUAACACAUGCAAGUCGAGCGGAGAGAGGUAGCUUGCUACUGAUCUUAGCGGCGGACGGGUGAGUAAUGCUUAGGAAUCUGCCUAUUAGUGGGGGACAACAUUUCGAAAGGAAUGCUAAUACCGCAUACGUCCUACGGGAGAAAGCAGGGGAUCUUCGGACCUUGCGCUAAUAGAUGAGCCUAAGUCGGAUUAGCUAGUUGGUGGGGUAAGGGCCUACCAAGGCGACGAGCUGUAGCGGGUCUGAGAGGAUGUACCGCCACACUGGGACUGAGACACGGCCCAGACUCCUACGGGAGCCAGCAUUGGGGAUUAUUGGACAAUGGGCGCAAGACUGAUCCAGCCAUGCCGCGUGUGUGAAGAAGGCCUUAUGGUUGGAAAGCACUUUAAGCGAGGAGGAGGCUACUUUAGUUAAUACCUAGGGAUAGUGGACGUUACUCGCAGAAUAAGCACCGGCUAACUCUGUGCCAGCAGCCGCCGUAA